rnacentral:rRNA from 1 species
CACGUAGGGCGCAAGCGUUGUCCGGAAUUAUUGGGCGUAAAGAGCUCGUAGGCGGUCUGUUGCGUCCGCUGUGAAAACCCGGGGCUCAACCCCGGGCCUGCACCCGAUACUGGCGAGCUGGAGGCAGGUAGGGGAGAUCGGAAUUCCCGGUGUAGCGGUGAAAUGCGCAGAUAUCGGGAGGAACACCGGUGGCGAAGGCGGAUCUCUGGGCCUGUCCUGACGCUCAGGCGCGAAAGCUAGGGGAGCAAACAGG